GACACGGGCCACACCUGCGGCC
rnacentral:miRNA from 1 species